rnacentral:rRNA from 1 species
UAGCUAUACAUGCAGUCGAGCGGACAGAAGGGAGCUUGCUCCCGGAUGUUAGCGGCGGACGGGUGAGUAACACGUGGGUAACCUGCCUGUAAGACUGGGAUAACUCCGGGAAACCGGAGCUAAUACCGGAUAGUUCCUUGAACCGCAUGGUUCAAGGAUGAAAGACGGUUUCGGCUGUCACUUACAGAUGGACCCGCGGCGCAUUAGCUAGUUGGUGAGGUAACGGCUCACCAAGGCGACGAUGCGUAGCCGACCUGAGAGGGUGAUCGGCCACACUGGGACUGAGACACGGCCCAGACUCCUACGGGAGGCAGCAGUAGGGAAUCUUCCGCAAUGGACGAAAGUCUGACGGAGCAACGCCGCGUGAGUGAUGAAGGUUUUCGGAUCGUAAAGCUCUGUUGUUAGGGAAGAACAAGUGCAAGAGUAACUGCUUGCACCUUGACGGUACCUAACCAGAAAGCCACGGCUAACUACGUGCCAGCAGCCGCGGUAAUACGUAGGUGGCAAGCGUUGUCCGGAAUUAUUGGGCGUAAAGGGCUCGCAGGCGGUUUCUUAAGUCUGAUGUGAAAGCCCCCGGCUCAACCGGGGAGGGUCAUUGGAAACUGGGAAACUUGAGUGCAGAAGAGGAGAGUGGAAUUCCACGUGUAGCGGUGAAAUGCGUAGAGAUGUGGAGGAACACCAGUGGCGAAGGCGACUCUCUGGUCUGUAACUGACGCUGAGGAGCGAAAGCGUGGGGAGCGAACAGGAUUAGAUACCCUGGUAGUCCACGCCGUAAACGAUGAGUGCUAAGUGUUAGGGGGUUUCCGCCCCUUAGUGCUGCAGCUAACGCAUUAAGCACUCCGCCUGGGGGAGUACGGUCGCAAGACUGAAACUCAAAGGAAUUGACGGGGGCCCGCACAAGCGGUGGGAGCAUGUGGUUUAAUUCGAAGCAACGCGAAG